rnacentral:rRNA from 2 species
ACCUGUUCCCAUGCCGAACACAGAAGUUAAGCUCUUUAGCGCCGAUGGUAGUCGGACUUACGUUCCGCAAGAGUAGGACGUUGCCAGGC